rnacentral:tRNA from 1 species
AAAAAGGUAAGCUAAAUAAGCUAUUAGGCUCAUAACCUAAGUAUAGAAAUCUAUUCUUCUUUUUA